UUUCAUAAUUCUAGUUUGGUAAGUUUUUAGGAGCGCAAAAGCGCAACAUAUACCUAGGGUGUACAUGUCUUCAUUAGGGGCCUGUACGCCUUUUGAAAGCAUGUCUAAGAUUUAGUGUGUUUUUAUUAGCGCUAGAUAAUUAAUCCUGUUUAUAUGUAACAGCUUUCGUUAGACAUGAUUCAGAGGUAGUUUACUCAAGUGGUCUAGAGGCUUACGGGGUAUAUGUUACCAUGGAUCCUAGCGCACGUUGCACGAAUAUGGAUCCUAAUUGUUGGUGCCUUUGCAUUGUUCUUUCUUCUGUACGUGUAUAAUUGAAUAUGCAACGGCAGUUGGAAAGAACUUGGCUUAGUAGCUAUAGUCAAAGCCAUAGAUAAUCACAUACGGGAUAUGCAUUGCAAAUAUUGGGUUUCCGUAUAAAUUGCUAUGUGUACGUAAUUCUAUUUGUCAAUUUUGCGACGCAGAUCGCAAACAAUUUCAGACUAGACCGGACAAUGGCAAACAUGAUCGAAUUACGCAGUUUGGGUGAUACACUCUUUCAUAAACGCGUUUGGCCUAUCUGAUUAGCUUUUCGUCCAUUGUCUCUGGUUGCCAUGGACAAGCACUCGUAAAUACUGCUCCGUGAUUGGCCCAAACUGUGCAAUAGUGAUGAUGACGUUACCAAAAGAAUAGAGUUCGGGUAAUUCUAAAGCGUUUUCUCAAGUUUCACAGCCGUCCCUAACGUCCAAAAAGAGAUAUCCGUAGAGGAGAAGAAGAAGAAGAAAAUUGGCACAUGGGCCUCAGAGGCCAGCAACUGUUUCUAGCGUGCAAAAGACGACCACGUCCCCACAAUGCUCCAUAACCAGGGCAAUCCCCACGUACAAGGUACUACCAUACCCUGUGAUACAAAAAUCAUGGUAGAAUGAAACACAGUAUCUGACCGUGUGUUACAAGUGACCAUGAAACCAUCUCAGUUGGCAACACCCACCUGAAAAGAUGAUCUAUUAACUAUACAACAAACCACAGAAAACCCUAAUAAAGUCCAACCUGGACCUCCUACCAAACUUAAAAUCGUAUCAUUUACUGCUAUGACUGCUCUUUUGAAAUGGGAGAAAGGAUUUGAUGGUCAUUCACAAAUCAGUGGAUACAAACUGGAAUACAAAAUAGGAACGAGUGCGUGGCAAUGGUUUUCUGGAUUGAAAAUUCCUCCAUCGACAGAAUUUGUGGUUGAGAAUCUUGUACCGAAUACAAGCUAUAAAUUCCGAAUAAAAGCCUUCAAUAAUGUGGGUUUUAGUGUGUGGAGCAAACCAUCACUUGUUAUCACAACUAAAACACAAGAGGACAAACAGACUCAUUGGUUAUUUCUGGAGCUGACACUGAACGGCCCCAUGGAAUGGAUGGAGCAACAAAACCGACUUCAAAGUCAAAGAUAAGAGGGACAGAUAGAGACCUGGCAAGCAGUGGGAUACAAGCACCAAUUGGUGUAUCAGAUAAAGUCGUUGUGACUGAAUCAACAGCACAAUCCACCUCUAGAGAAUGAAACACAGUAUCUGAACGUGUGUUACAAGUGACCAUGAAACCAUCUCAGUUGGUAACACCCACCAGAAAAGAUGAUCUAACCAUUAUACAACAAACCACAGAAAAUCCUAAAAAGUCCAACCCGGACCUCAUACCAAACUUAAAAUCGCAUCAUUUACUGCAACGACUGCUUGUUUGAAAUGGGAAAAAGGAUUUAAUGGUCAUUCACAAAUCAGUGGAUACAAACUUGAAUAUAAAAUAGGAACAAGUGCGUGGCAACGGUUUCCUGGUUUGAAAAUUCCUCCAUCGGCAGAAUUAGUGGUUGAGAAUCUCAUACCGAACACAAGUCAUAAAUUGGAAAUAAAAUCCUUCAAUGACGUGGGUUCUAGUGUGUGGAGCAAACCAUCUCUUGUUAUCACAACUAAAACACAAGAUGACAAAACAGACUCAUUGGUUAUUUCUGGAGCUGACACUGAAUGGCCUCAUGGAACGGAUGGAGCAACAAAACCGACUGCAAAGUCAAAGAUAAGAGAUUAUCUAAGAACUACACAGCAAACCACAGAAAACCCUAAAAAAGUCCAACUCGAACCUUCUACCUAACUCAAAAUCGUGUCAUUUACUGCAACGACUGCUCGUUUGAAAUGGGAAAAGGAUUUGAUGGUCAUUCACAAAUCAGUGGAUACAAACUGGAAUACAAAAUAGGAACGAGUGCGUGGCAACGGUUUUCUGGAUUGAAAAUUCCUUCAUCAACAGAAUUUGUGGUUGAAAACCUCGUACCAAAUACAAGCUAUUGAUUCAGAAUAAGAGCUUUCAAUGACGUGGGCUCCCAUUGUGUGGAGCAAACUAACACUUGUUAUCACAGAAUUGGUUAGUUUAUGGACAGAAUCAUGCAUGAAAUCGCAUUCUUUUACACAUCCACAAUAAAGAUUGAGCAUGAUACGUGCU